ensembl:miRNA dre-mir-20a microRNA 20a
UAAAGUGCUUAUAGUGCAGGUAGUUUUAUGGAUACCUACUGCAGUGUGAGCACUUGAAGU